rnacentral:rRNA from 1 species
GACGAACGCUGGCGGCGUGCUUAACACAUGCAAGUCGAACGGAAAGGCCCUUCGGGGUACUCGAGUGGCGAACGGGUGAGUAACACGUGGGUGAUCUGCCCUGCACUUUGGGAUAAGCCUAGGAAACUGGGUCUAAUACCGAAUAGGACCACGCGCUUCAUGGUGUGUGGUGGAAAGCUUUUGCGGUGUGGGAUGGGCCCGCGGCCUAUCAGCUUGUUGGUGGGGUAAUGGCCUACCAAGGCGACGACGGGUAGCCGGCCUGAGAGGGUGACCGGCCACACUGGGACUGAGAUACGGCCCAGACUCCUACGGGAGGCAGCAGUGGGGAAUAUUGCACAAUGGGCGGAAGCCUGAUGCAGCGACGCCGCGUGAGGGAUGACGGCCUUCGGGUUGUAAACCUCUUUCAAUAGGGACGAAGCGCAAGUGACGGUACCUAUAGAAGAAGCACCGGCCAACUACGUG